AUGAACGCUAGCUACAGGCUUCACCCAUGCAAGUCGCGGGGAAACGAUGAGAGAGCUUGCUCUCUUAGGCGUCGACCGGCGCACGGGUGAGUAACGCGUAUCCAACCUACCCAUUACAGGGGGAUAACCUUGCGAAAGUAAGACUAAUACCCCAUGGCAUUUUAUGGUGGCAUCAUUAUAGGAUUAAAGAUUUAUUGGUAAUGGAUGGGGAUGCGUCUGAUUAGCUUGUUGGCGGGGUAACGGCCCACCAAGGCAACGAUCAGUAGGGGUUCUGAGAGGAAGGUCCCCCACAUUGGAACUGAGACACGGUCCAAACUCCUACGGGAGGCAGCAGUGAGGAAUAUUGGUCAAGGGGCGAGAGCUUGAACCAGCCAAGUAGCGUGCAGGAUGACGGCCCUAUGGGUUGUAAACUGCUUUUAUAGGGGAAUAAAGUGAGCUACGUGUAGUUUAUUGCAUGUACCCUAUGAAUAAGGACCGGCUAAUUCCGUG
rnacentral:rRNA from 1 species